AUUGAACGCUGGCGGUAUGCUUAAGACAUGCAAGUCGAACGGUAACAGGCAGAGCUUGCUCUGUGCUGACGAGUGGCAGACGGGUGAGUAACACGUGGAAAUCUGCCCAGUAGCGGGGGAUAACCCGGAGAAAUCCGGACUAAUACCGCAUACGCCCUACGGGGGAAAGGCUUCGGCCACUAUUGGAUGAGUCCGCGUUAGAUUAGCUAGUUGGUGAGGUAAGGGCUCACCAAGGCGACGAUCUAUAGCUGGUCUGAGAGGAUGAUCAGCCACAUUGGGACUGAGACACGGCCCAGACUCCUACGGGAGGCAGCAGUCGGGAAUAUUGGACAAUGGGCGAAAGCCUGAUCCAGCAAUACCGCGUGUGUGAAGAAGGCCUGCGGGUUGUAAAGCACUUUCAGUAGGGAAGAUAAUGACGUUACCUACAGAAGAAGCACCGGCUAACUCCGUGCCAGCAGCCGCGGUAAUACGGAGGGUGCGAGCGUUAAUCGGAAUUACUGGGCGUAAAGCGCACGUAAGCGGUUUAUUAAGUCAGAUGUGAAAUCCCCGGGCUCAACCUGGGAACUGCACCUGAUACUGGUAAACUAGAAUUUGGGAGAGGCGAGUGGAAUUUCCGGUGUAGCGGUGAAAUGCAUAGAGAUCGGAAGGAACACCAGUGGCGAAGGCGACUCGCUGGCCCGAAAUUGACGCUGGGGCGCGAAAGCGUGGGUAGCAAACAGGAUUAGAUACCCUGGUAGUCCACGCCGUAAACGAUGUCAACUAGCCGUUGGUUUCUUUAAAGGAAUCAGUGGUGCAGCUAACGCAUUAAGUUGACCGCCUGGGGAGUACNCGCGCAAGCGUAAAACUCAAAGGAAUUGACG
rnacentral:rRNA from 1 species